CAGUAGCCGCGGGAAUACGGAGGGAGCUAGCGUUGUUCGGAAUUACUGGGCGUAAAGCGCACGUAGGCGGCUUUGUAAGUCAGAGGUGAAAGCCUGGAGCUCAACUCCAGAACUGCCUUUGAGACUGCAUCGCUUGAAUCCAGGAGAGGUGAGUGGAAUUCCGAGUGUAGAGGUGAAGUUCGUAGAUAUUCGGAAGAACACCAGUGGCGAAGGCGGCUCACUGGACUGGUAUUGACGCUGAGGUGCGAAAGCGUGGGGAGCAAACAGGAUUAGAUACCCGCGUAGUUCCUGUCUCUUAUAC
rnacentral:rRNA from 1 species